UCUUGUCAUCAAUUUUUUUUUUUUUUUUGUCCAGAAAACUUUUCACUGGAGGCAGAGGGGAAAGGAGUGGGAAGAAAAAAAAAGCCAAAAAAAGAAAAAAAAGAAAAAAAAGGCAGUAAAAUAGACACGUCCCCGCCUUCAAACCUGUCUCUGCGUCUCUCUGUGUCUACCCUUACUUCUGCCUGGAUUAGUCGACAUAAAGCUGUUUUCGACAGCCAGGGCCCUCAAUGGCGAGUUAAAUUUAGACAGAUUGUGAGGAGUGGAGAACAUGGGCCUGAGAAAAGGGACCCGGCUCCCGCCCUGACCCCGCUUUGUUCCCCCGCCGUGGUCACCUGCCACCCCGCACAAAGGGCCGCGCUGCCGCCGCGCCGCCCUGACCCGGCCCGGCCCCAUUGGCUGCCGCCCCCGCUGUUGCCAGGGCAGGCCCGGAGAGGCCGGCAGGCUCAGGAGGAAAGCCAGGGAAACCUGGGGAGGGCAGGAAUGCGUCCCAGCCACCCUGCUCGCCCAGCUGUGGGGCACUGGUGUGGGGUUGUAGGGCUGGCCAGGCAAUGGGUGGGCAAGGCCACGAGGCCGGGAGCAAGAGCCUGGAUUGGAAUGCUGGCACUGGCAUGGGGUGGCCCGUGUCCCCCUCCGGUAACCCCUGCUCUAUCUAAGUGGUUGGAAACCCUUUUCAAAAGAACGAGCAUGCAAGUGCCUGUUAGAAUCGAAGCGUGACACAGCGUGCUUUUGCUGGAGAAGCCCCAGCUCCAUGACACGGUGUGGCGUGCAGCUGCUCCUGGAGGACACAAGCAGGUCUCUUGCCCUCCCGAUCCCCCCAGCAUUGUUUGGGAUCUGUCAGGCCGCCUUCCCGCAAAGCCGCCUCCCUAGGGAUGGGAGCCCCUGGCUGCCUUUGAGAGGUGAGGUGACCGUCCUGCUGUCAGCCCCAGCUCCCACAUCCCUGUUUGAGGCUGGUCCCUGUCAUACUGGUUUAACUCCAGGGCAACGCUAUGCCAAAGUUUAACUAGAUUUAAUUAACAAUGGACAGCAAAUAUUUCAGCUGCUCUAAGGUGGAGCUGCUUCCCACACCCCAAAAUGUUGACAAGAGUUGUUUUUUUUCUGCAGGAGCACAGCUCAAACCAGGUCCCCUCGUUUAGCCUGAGAGAUGGGCUUUAGCUGUUUGGUGUGGCAUUAGCACCUGAAUUUCCAUGCCAGAAGCAUCUUCUUGGAAAGCAGUCCUUAAGAAUCACCAGGUAGGCAUCAGGCAUAGUGAGGAAGCAUGAAAAUCUUGGAAGGAAUCCUGUUUUCAGACUUCCAGAUCCGCCUGCAGAGCAUCUCUGAGGAUAUGGAUCCAAACAACAGUGCUACAAUAAUAACAACAGGAAUAACAAUAACAUAUAACGUCUACUUUUCGGUAAUGUACACAGGAAAUCACACUAUAAUGCUAGCACUUGGGCAACUUCUGCAGGAAAUGAGACUUCACAGGCUGUCGUUUUGGUACUCUGUCUCUUCCAUGCCACUUCCUCACCUAUUAGCCCAUUUUUUUUUUGUAGAUGUGUUUUGCUUUCUUUUACAGAAGAGUGGGGUGCCCUCAUUUCUUCCUUUCAGUUUUCUGCUUUAGCAGCAAUCUUGCAAAGCCACAGACACUUCUAGUGGUGUAUUCUUCCGUAUUGGUGUAAAAUGUUGACUGUCAGCUUUGUGCUUAGUUUUCUAUACACUGAAAAAAUUCCCAGGG
ensembl:lncRNA